CAGAUAGAUGCCUCUGGUCUGUCAGCGGCUUGGGGACGCGCCCGGCUGUGCGGCCACGGGUCAGCAAGUUGAGCAGGGAGGGACGGAAGGAGACCGUCCUGGCUGAGCAGAGGCCACCUGCCCUGAACACUGGUUUGCAGAGACGCCCAGGUUUUACAAGGUCCCUGAAGACCCGGUUCAGUUUGGUCUCUCGUCUUGAAUUGCCUCAGUUCUUUUCUCUGCCCUGCUCUGAAGAGCCCCGUUUCUGUCCCGGUACUAUCUGAGCACAAAACGGCAAGGCGUACCUCAGCCGUCCCUCGGUUACAGUCCUGUGAAUGGGUGGAUGAAUGAGUGUCUGCCUAGGAAUCUGAGUGUAAGUUCUCAGCUUUAACACUGAGAGACCUUGCUCUAGCUCCAGUCCAGUUCGGGGGACUCAUUUUCUGUGAAAUGGAACCAGUCUUUUCACGCUCCGUCUUCCAGUGUCCAUCCAGGGUGUCUUGGGACAGCCAAAUGAACGCGCAAGUUCAGAACGAGCCUUUUUCUGCGGCCAGAGAGCUUGCUCUCUGCCUUGGGCUGUAGGCCUUGCUAGCUGCCUAUCAGCUGAGUAGAGUCUGGCUCCCAGCCCCAGCGGGGGCUCAGAAGGGGUGCUGCUGCAGCGUUGUGCAGAGUGAGAAGGGUGGCCCCACAGAGCUGUGUGACUGAGCCUCUCUGCAGCCUCCCGGGCCUUUCACAUAGGAGACACAAAGGCGCCUUGUCUAACCUCUGCUGGCCGUGGGAGUUGGUGCAGGCAGCUUCCAGACCCAGAUGUCUCCAAAGCCACCCUUGCUUUAGGGUCCUAGUGUGAGGGAAGUCUUUCUGGUUAUUGAAACCCCCACUGAUUUCCUUUCCCUAAUCUCCCUUUUGAGCCACCGAGCCUUCUGAGGUUACUGCUGCUUGCUCCAGGACCCAGGAUUGGUCCUAACCUCUAGAAGACCCACAGGAUGGCCAGUGGCCAGUCUUGGACUUUGCACUUGCUGUGGUCCAAUUCCUCUACUUCCAGCCAAAGAAACUACAUUCCAGAGUGCAUUAAACACUCCUCACCUGCUGUUCUGACUAAAUUGUCUGGAUUUAGCUGACGAUCUACCCACCAUCCCGAGCUUCCUGGGUCUGAGGAGUGAGUAUCCCCUCUCAGAAAAGCCUGGGAGGCUAGGUUCCCUGAUGCUUUCCUCGACAAAUUAAUAGUCAGAUUUUAUAGCCCACCAAAUCCAGCAGAUUCCCCAUCCCCAGUGCUGUUCCCCACCCCACCCCACUCCAACUUGAGCACCUUUGCUUUCAUAUUUUUACUUACUCACAACUUGAGAUUUUGUGACUGAAAGGCUUGAAAACCUAUAUUGAUCCAGCCAGGAAAUGGAAGCCCAGUGAGUCACAGUAAGUAUCCUAUGAAGGGGAGAAUGGCACUGAGGGCAUCUCCCUGAACUUCGCAGCCAAAGCAGGCUAAUGGUAAGACCUAGGCCCCGUAAUGGUCCCCAUGUGCUGUAAUGAAGCCACAGGGGCAGCUGCAUUAGCAGCAGAAGCUCAGGAGGGGACGGCAAAGCCCCUGCUCUGGCCCCCCAGCCCACCUCACAUUAGAAGUCUUCCUGUCUCUCCAGCCGGAGCAAGCAUUUACCUCCUGGCAGGCAUCCUCAUCUUCCCUCUCUGACUUUUCUCAUCUCCCCAGAGAAAGCCUUCUGCCCUGAGGCUCUGUGGUGGGGGUGGGGAGCCCUGCCUGGCCUAGCCUCAACUCUCCAGCCCUCGUUACUGCUGGAAUGGUGCCUUUCUCUCUCUUCACUGACACUCCCUGCUUCACACUCUCUUGGGGGCUCCCUCUGCCAGCCCCGCUUCUCAGCCUCAACUCCAGGCCUUUCCCUCUCUGCUUCUCCUCUCCCUUCCAUUUAGCCAGGUAGGCUGCACCCUCCUUCACCUCCUGCCAGUGCUGGCCACUCCCUCUUCCCCCUGUGCUUCUCUGUGUUUGACCGCCUCCUCUUGACUCCCAACCAUUGAUUGAUCUUCUAAGACCUCCUCCAGAUGUUGCAGCUCUCAGCACACUGUGGCUAGCUCCCUCUCUGAGGGGAUGUCUUUGAAGUUGGGGCCCAGUUCAUCCUACACACAGCUGAAUGUCCAGCCACUGGCACUGUCCCCGUCAUGUGGCCAACCUCCAGAAGGACUCCCUAGCUCACCUCCUUUGUGCUAGCUACUGUGGGACUGAAACUGUACUUCUCAAGUUUCCCUGACCAGGACCAGGGCUUGAAAGGCAAAUGAAUCCUGGAAGCUCCGGCUGUUGGCGCUCCAGGCUGGCAGCCCUGAGAUACAGAAGGCCUGAUUCUCUGCCUUGGCAAAGGUCCCUUCCACCUCCCCUAAAGCAAGAUCAGCUACCAAAUUUGCAAGACUCUGUAUAAAAUGAAAAUGUGGACCCUUUGCUUAAAAAAAAAUCAUUAAGAAUUUCAA